CCUACGGGAGGCAGCAGUGGGGAAUCUUGCGCAAUGGGGGCAACCCUGACGCAGCCAUGCCGCGUGAAUGAUGAAGGCCUUAGGGUUGUAAAGUUCUUUUGCCCGUGACGAUGAUGACGGUAACGGGAGAAUAAGCUCCGGCUAACUUCGUGCCAGCAGCCGCGGUAAUACGAAGGGGGCUAGCGUUGUUCGGAAUUACUGGGCGUAAAGCGCGCGCAGGCGGUUCGAUAAGUUAGGGGUGAAAUCCCUGGGCUCAACCCAGGAAUGGCCUUUAAGACUGUCGAGCUAGAGGACGAGAGAGGUGAGUGGAAUUCCCAGUGUAGAGGUGAAAUUCGUAGAUAUUGGGAAGAACACCGGUGGCGAAGGCGGCUCACUGGCUCGUUUCUGACGCUGAGGCGCGAAAGCGUGGGGAGCAAACAGGAUUAGAUACCCUGGUAGUCCACGCCCUAAACGAUGAGUGCCAGGUGUCGGGAAGCUUAGCUUCUCGGCGCCGCAGCUAACGCCUUAAGCACUCCGCCUGGGGAGUACGGCCGCAGGUAAACUCAAAGGAAUUGACGGCUGNGAGNGCGAGACGACGACGAGGAGAG
rnacentral:rRNA from 1 species